AUUGAACGCUGGCGGCAUGCCUUACACAUGCAAGUCGAACGGUAACAGGUCUUCGGAUGCUGACGAGUGGCGAACGGGUGAGUAAUACAUCGGAACGUGCCCGAUCGUGGGGGAUAACGAAGCGAAAGCUUUGCUAAUACCGCAUGAGAUCUACGGAUGAAAGCAGGGGACCGCAAGGCCUUGCGCGAACGGAGCGGCCGAUGGCAGAUUAGGUAGUUGGUGGGAUAAAAGCUUACCAAGCCGGCGAUCUGUAGCUGGUCUGAGAGGACGACCAGCCACACUGGGACUGAGACACGGCCCAGACUCCUACGGGAGGCAGCAGUGGGGAAUUUUGGACAAUGGGCGAAAGCCUGAUCCAGCCAUGCCGCGUGCAGGAUGAAGGCCUUCGGGUUGUAAACUGCUUUUGUACGGAACGAAAAGACUCUGGUUAAUACCUGGGGUCCAUGACGGUACCGUAAGAAUAAGCACCGGCUAACUACGUGCCAGCAGCCGCCGUAACAC
rnacentral:rRNA from 1 species